CCUCCAGAGGGGACACGCCUGGUCAGGAAGGCACCAAGCACUGCCUUCCAAGUUUUCCUUCCCUCUGGGUUUGAGGGAUGCUCAGGAAGACGUGGCAGCCCCAACCCAAUGUCUCAAGGAUGAGAAGAGAGAAGCAUUUCUGGCUGUAUGGAUACUUCAACCUCAUGAAUAAAACUCUGUUUGAAGAAAUUCAAAAUCUUACCCAGGGCAGAGAAAAGGGCAGAGCUGAGUGUGGCACUUGACCUUUCAGC
rnacentral:lncRNA from 1 species